GACGAACGCUGGCGGCGUGCUUAACACAUGCAAGUCGAACGGAAAGGCCCUGCUUUUGUGGGGUGCUCGAGUGGCGAACGGGUGAGUAACACGUGAGUAACCUGCCCUUGACUUUGGGAUAACUUCAGGAAACUGGGGCUAAUACCGGAUAGGAGCUCCUGCUGCAUGGGGGGGGUUGGAAAGUUUCGGCGGUUGGGUAUGUACUCGCGGCUUAUCAGCUUGUUGGUGGGGUAGUGGCUUACCAAGGCUUUGACGGGUAGCCGGCCUGAGAGGGUGACCGGCCACAUUGGGACUGAGAUACGGCCCAGACUCCUACGGGCGGCAGCAGUGGGGAAUAGUGCACAAUGGGCGGAAGCCUGAUGCAGCAACGCCGCGUGCGGGAUGACGGCCGUCGGGUUGUAAACCGCUUUCGCCUGUGACGAAGCGUGAGUGACGGUAAUGGGUAAAGAAGCACCGGCUAACUACGUG
rnacentral:rRNA from 1 species